UACGUAGGUGGCAAGCGUUGUCCGGAUUUAUUGGGUUUAAAGGGUGCGUAGGCGGCCUUGUAAGUCAGUGGUGAAAUACUCUAGCUUAACUAGAGGGGUGCCAAUGAUACUGCAGGGCUUGAGUACAGAUGAGGUAGGCGGAAUUGACGGUGUAGCGGUGAAAUGCAUAGAUAUCGUCAAGAACACCUAUAGCGAAGGCAGCUUACUGGGCUGUAACUGACGCUGAGGCACGAAAGUGUGGGGGAUCAAACAGG
rnacentral:rRNA from 1 species